ACACCCAAGUCUUAUCACUGACUCCUGCUCUAAUACUCUUCCCACUGUGCCCUUUAAAAUGCUAAAUAAUAACCAGGGGAGAUGCCCAUGUGGUUUACUAGAAGAAUCUACCAUGGCCCACAGGCUCCACCAGCAUAGGGUCUCCUCGGACCAGAGGUAUCAUCCCUGCCCUGAACUCUACAGUUGUCUUGUACAACUUGGAUAGAGCCUGAGUUCCGCUCUAUCUGCUGCGUUCUCCACGUGUAUUGCUAAGACCAGUGGUGUUCUAUUGUCAUGAGAUGUUGCAGUUCAUCUAGAGAACAUGAGGGCACGUUUCUCACUGUUUGUCACUGAGGAUGGGCAGCCCUUGGCAUCUGGCGAGCUGCGUGGUGAGAGAGGCCGCUCACUAACCCGGAAGGCUAAGACUCAGAGAGAGUAGUCCAGUGUGCGGGUCUCUUCCUGUUCGUGCUUUAGAGAUCGCAGAAGAACAGAAGCUCAUCUCAUAGGUGCAGGUGAAGAGCACGUGACGGGCGCAGGCGAAGAGCACGUGACAGGCGCAGGUGAAGAGCACGUGAUGGGCAAGUGCCGCAUCCUGGUAUUUGCUGACACCCUGAGCAGUUUCUUCUGAGAAACUUUAAAAGGAUGGAAACCUGGGUGUUGAUAGACCCUUGCCCCCCAGGCUGCUGCAAAGAGCUCGUUUCCUUGUGUUGCACAUCUGUCACUGGCCCUGCAUAAAUACCAGUCCCAUUCCAUGUGGGUUGUGUAUGCCUCACUUGUGUUUGUGAGGGUCUCACCAUCUUCGCUGCCUCACUUGUGUUUGUGAGGGUCUCACCAUCUUCGCUGCAGGUGCUUAUUCACUUUGGAACCUGUAAUAUUCAUUUAUGUACAGACAAGAGACUGAGAUGCACAGCAGUGAGCUGGUCAGGGGCUUUGUCCUCUGGGAACAUAGUCCUUUAUUUAUAGACAUCUUAAAACGAAGCUUACCGUUUGGCAAAGGGCGAGUAGCAGAUUUUAGUUUCUUUUUAUAACAGGAGAAAUGAGGGUGGGUUAACAAGACAGGGUGGGCUUUUGUGACUGAAAGAAACAAGGAUCAAGGUAUUCGUGCAUGUUAUAUUUAAGGCAAAAAGAUACCCAGGACACGGCUUUACCAGCCUGUGGAAUCUUUGUAGUUCACUUUAACUACAUUUGUUAUUUCUCCUAUCUGUGUUUAAACAACUGACAGAAUUCAGCCACAGGAGUAAGCAUUUGGGCUCACAAGAACAUGAUCUGUCCCGGCAGUGAAGGUACCAAGAGCAGCUUGGCCCAUGGUGGCGAAUGGGCAGCAGAGAAGAGGAAGUCAGGCUCAGCUGGCUUUUCUCCUGACACCUCAGCGCAUGGAAUGGUGCUGCCCACGUUCAGGCUGGGUCUUUCCUCCUAAGAACACCUCUCUCUCUGGGAACACCCUUGCCAGCAGAGUCAUGCCUUGUUAAUGCCAUCAGUGUUCCUUACGCCAAUCCAGCUGGCACUCAGAAUUGAUUAUCAUGCUGCCUGGGGCUGGGCUCUUGCUCUGCAGGCUUAUUAACAGCGUCAGGUUAGUGCCCAGGCUGCUUCAAUUGCACACUUUCUUCUGCCUUCCUCACUCCGAUAUCUUUUGCUGCCUCUUCUUUCGUUUUUUCAAAGUCAACAUUCUCACCAUCACGUGUCAUGUUUAGAUAACUUGUCAUUUUACAACUCGGCUUACGUUCUUGAUCAACUCCAUGAGAAACCCACAUUUGGAUGAUGUCUCAAACUGAGUCGACUUUGGAAAUUAAUAACAAUAAUUUAUGCAUAGCAGCUGUGUUAAAGGGCUGAGUAUUUGAGUCGAUCCCCCUAAUAUUCUGUGGUAUAUACAUAAUAUUAGUGUCAUUCCACAUAAACAGCUGAAGCAUACAGAAGUAAGGUGGUUCGCCACAGUUCAGAUAAUAGCAGUGAAAUAAGGUUUGAAUACAGGUGAUUUGAAUACAAGGAUAAACUGGAUGUCUAUCCAGUCAGGGUAGUCUGAAAAGAUGUAACAAGAACCGCAAUGUUCCAGUAGCUGGUCGAUGAAUU
rnacentral:lncRNA from 1 species